rnacentral:tRNA from 1 species
GCCCUCGUAGUAUAACUUGGAUAGUACGCGGCCCUCCGAAGGCUGCAGUCGGGGUUCAAAUCCCCGCGGGGGCG